ACUUUUGUGGUCCGCUUUCCUUGCUGAUGGAGAGGAAUAGUGUCACUCCCAUUUGACUCGGUAACCCGGCAGCUUCCUGUCUUAAACGCAGAGCUGGCGCGCAGGACACUCCUCCUGCAGACACUUAUUACACAAGUUCAUCUGCACCUCGUGCAAAGCAGCCCUGAAAGCUCAGGCUUGAAGACAAAAUGUGGAGCCCAGGCUCCUUCGAUUGAAAACCUCUCUACGAGGACACUCUCCGCAGUGGGCGGCCAGAAAGGAUUUCGGAUCAAGAUCCGCAGAGUGGUGAGCAUCUCCCAGGGUCCGGGGCUGAACUGACUGCAGGCUGGUAGCCCUUCGGCCCGGAGGAGAAUCUCCUUUCUGCAGAAACUACCCCUGGAAAACAAAACCGAGCGAAAAGAAGGGCAAUGCGGGUCUGCGCGGAAGGGAGCUCCCUUCCCGGGGAAGGAGGCGCCUCGCGGUGGCACACUCGCCGGCGGGAUGUAGGUAGGGGCAGACUAGGGUGAGAAGGGGGACUUGCGGAACACGGGUCUCCCGCGGGUCCGAGGGACAGGGUGCAGGCGCAUUCCAGGCACCUAGGGCAGUCCAGUCUGCUCUGCGGAGCGGGAGCCGGCCCCAGGCUCUCCACAUCUCCCAGGAAUCCAGAAGCUCGACUGCGGGACAGUUGUGUCGAUGGGGACCCCCCCAGCUGGAUUUUCAUUCCACUUGCUCCCUUGAUCGAGUGCUCACGCCCGGCAGGAGCUGGCUGUGCGCCGCCCCGGGUGGGUGGAGGUGCGUGGGGCUCGGGCCUUGGCUCGCUUGGGUGUGUCCCAGUCUUUUUCCUCCAGAAUUAAAGGCCUCUGCAGGGCGCAGAGCCCCUCUCCCCCUCUCCUAACUCUCCUCCCCACCUCGCCGCGGCCUAAGCUAAGAUGAGGUGAGCUUCCAGGGCUGUGUCCCUAGGAGGCCCCGAGCACUUUUCCUCCGAGGGUCGAAGAAAUCAGGUCCCCUCUCUUUCCCCAGCGCCCUCUGAGGAAGCCGCGAACCUCUGAGCGAGCGUGGUUUUACUGGGGAUUCCUAGCGACCUGCCCUGUGCCCAGCGACGCCCCAAGGGGAGAGGAGCUCUGUGGAGGGGCGGUGUGGGGGUGGGUGUCUACACUACAUCCUCUGGCUCGGAGCAGGACCCGGUGAUGCGCCCUGGCCGAGCUCCUGUCUCCUAGGAAUGCGGGUGCCUCGGGCCCUGUCGGGACCCUUGGUUCGACCGGAGGGCCCGGGAGUGGGAGCCUGGAUCCAACAGGCACCCGGAUCCAGGAGUCAGACUCCUUGGUUCCGAACGUUUCUUCCGGAGCGAAAGCUUGCUCCCCCUUCCCCCAAGUCCCUCGCGGGCUGGGAGGUGAAGGGAGCGACAGAAGCCGGGCCUCCUCCGCAGCGCCCAACGCCCCGGGCUCUCCGGGUCCCGGGACGUGGCUCGGGUGCGUGGAGGGACGGCUGGGGGCGCAGAUUUGUGAAUGAACCUCGGAGCUCUUUGCAGCUCACAGAUCAGAGGCUGCGAUCGCCCCACCGACGUGGUCCAAUGAGCCGCCGCAAUAAGCUCUGAGCGACGAAACGGAGGCACGGCCUGGACUCUGCGGCACCGCGCUGCGCAGGGCCGGACGGGGGAGGGGCUGAGCCACUGCAGCAACUUCAAAGCCUGUGUCGGGGCUCAGCAAUGGGUGGGCUCUCCCCGGGCCGCACGGUUCUCAAGGGCCUCCCCCGACCCCCACCGCCACCCCGUCGGAACGCCCAGAGGCGUUCCCAGCCCAAGUGAUGGAGACUCUGACUCCCAGUUGUCUCCGCGCCCUCCGCUUGCGCGUCCUUGGCGUCUCCCCCGGGACCCGGGGGGCGAUCACAUUCUGAGACCUAAUCCGGUUACUUCCGGGCGUGGGUCUCCACCGCCUCCCGGGCUGGCUGGACUCGCUUCCUAAGUAGCUGUCUCAUUCACCAUUCGCCGCCAGCUCCCCUUUCAAAAUUCAAGUCUUCGGCUGCCUCCCUGUCGCUCUCCGCUCUCCGCUCUCCGCUCUCCGUGCGAGGGGAGGGGAGGGGGAGGAAGGAGCGGACACCCAUGUGUGCCCGGGAGGGGCCCGCACCGCCUCCCCGCUCCCUCAGCAGAGGCCCUGGGCCCCCUCUUCAGAGGGAAAUCGGUGAGCAGACACUAAGUGACGCGAGCCCCGGCCCCUUCCCCGCCGGGGGAUCUCCGUGCGUUCCAGAAGCGCACCUGGAAGCAAUUCUCCUCGCGUAACCGUCGCCUCCUAAGCAUCUCCAGCAUCUUCACAUCUCCUAAACAUCUGCACAAUUCUGCGCUGUUUUCUGGAGGACCUCGGAGACGGGGAGGGGACGAUGGGGUGCCGUGGGGGCAGGGAAGGAGAGAGGUCAGGGGUUACGCAGGAUUACGGCUCGGCUCGGUGACCCUUCUCAUCCUCCGUGGCCCAGGGAGGGGAUCUGUAGCGAGGGCUCCAGACCUCUUUUGCAAAACCGAACUCUGGGGGAGGGCUUGCGUCCCAUGAAGCACGGGGAAGGUCUAAAUGACGAACACCCACGAGCGGCCGGGAGCGGAAGAUGGCAGGAUCGACGGGCCCGGGAGGGAAGAUGGGCGUGCGUCUCCAGUGACCAUGGCACGAGGCGGCGUCCUGCUCCGCACCACGCUACAACCCAACCAGGCCUCCGCCCCUCCGCGCUUGAACAGGGCGGGUCCACCCGGGCGGCGAGCUCGAGCUCAGCGCAGCCUCAGCCCGGCGCCUCCCUCCCGCUUGCUGGGGAAGAGGUGGGAAACCCUCUCCGCCGCGCCCUGGCUCCCACCGCAGGCCUCCGAGAAUAAACUCUCUCAGGGAGACUGAACUGUCCCCACCCUCUGUCCCAGCCUCAAGAGGGACUUCCUGAAAAUAUGGCAGCCAAGAAUAGGGUGAAAAUGUAAGCCUGAGGUUUCCUUCUCCACCUCCCCCUGCUCCCUGCUCCUUCACCUCCACACUUCCCACCAGCCCAGAGGGGUCCAGCUGUAACCACCACCACCGCCACCUCUACGGUGCUGACGACUGUCACCAUUUCCUUCCAGUUCCAGCUGCCUCCUGGAUGCCUCCACUGGAAGGCUGACGAGCACCUUCAAUUUCACGUGUUCACUUCAGAGCACCCCCGAUCCCGCUACCCCUGCUGCCCUGAUCUGCGCCUUCCCAGUUUCUCCCAGUCACCCAGCUGGCCACCCCCCAGGAGACAUCCCUGAUCCCUCAUUUUCUCUCUAGAGCCACCUCCUGUCCCUUAGCAAGGCCUGCUGGCUCUGCCUCCACGUCUUUUCCACAGCUCCCCCAUACUCCUGCGUCCUCCACCAGCCCCCAAGCCCUUUCCCCCUCCACCUGCAGGGUUGCAUGGCCUCCUAACCAGCUCUCCACCUCACACAUGUGCCCUGUGGUCCACCGCUCUCCCUACAACAGAGUAAGCUUCAGCUCAGACCUACCCUUGGUCAAAACCAGUGGUUUCCAUGUGCAUGAGAAUUAGACACAUCCUUACAAUGUCCUUCAAGGCACAAUGAAAUCCACCAGCCACCUCCCUCACCUGAGGUUCUAAGUCUAGUUUUGCCAGUUCUUGAGCCUCCAAGCCAUGGCCACCUCAGGGGAGCUCUUUUCCUUUGGUCCUGACUCUUUGUUCAUCUGGUACAUUCUUUCUCCAUAUCUUUGGGCACAGACUGUUCCCCAGAGAAGGGUCACAUGAUCUAAAAUGACUCCCUAAUCCAGGUGUGUUCCCCACAGCACUUAUGGCUACUUGCAGUUGUAAAGGUGUUGGUGCGUUUAUUAUUGGUCUCUCAUCUAGAACAUACCUUCCAGAGGGCAGGGCCUCGUCUUCCUGGCUGUACCCCCAGUCCUGCUAAAGGGACUGGCACACAGUAACAUGAAGCCAGUGCUCCCAGACUUUUUGGUCACAGGACUGCUUUAUGCUCUUAGAAAUUUACUGAGCCCCCCAAAGAGCUUUUGUAUAUAGCAACGGAUAGAUUUAGAUGUCUAUCCGGUGAUUUGCGCAGUAUGAUGAAAUGGUAAUGUUUUAAAUAUAUUGAUUAAUUGAUUCAUUUACAAUGACAAUAAAAACCCACUUCAUGUUUACUUAACAUAUUUUAAUGAACACUUAUUCUAUUCCCCCAAACAAAAAAAAAUUAGUCUGGAGAGUGGUGUACAUGUUUGCACCCCUCUUUAAUAUCUGGCUUAAUAGAAGAUAGUUGGAUUCUCAUUUUUGUUUGUGCAAUCCAUUAUUUUGGUUCAAGUAUAUGAAGAAAAUGCAACCUGUCACAGAUAUGCAGUUGAAAACUGGAGGAGUAUUUUAUUAGCCUUGGCAGAUAAUUGUGAACAUUUUUCCUUGAUAUUACCCCCAAAUUCAACAAAUGGUGGUUUCUUAAAGGUUGGUUGCAAUGUGGAAUCUGAAACCAUGUCAAUGAACAUUUCAUACUCUAUUACAUUAAAAUCCAUUUAUCUGUCUUGCACUUUGAAUGGCUCUUUUGCCCACAAAAUAUUUCCUUCCUUCCUUCCUUCCUCCUCCCUCCCUCCCUCCCUCCCUCCCUCCCUCCCUCCCUCCCUCCUUCCCCUUUUCCUUCCCCUUCCCCUUCCCUUCCCUUCCCUUUCUUUUUGACAGAGUCUCUCUCUGUCACCCAGGCUAGAGUGCAGUGAUACAAUCUCUGCUCACUGCAACCUUGCUUCCUGGGUUCAAGUGAUUCUCCUGCCUCAGCCUCCCCAGAAGCUGGGAUUACAGGUGCAUGCCACCACACCCAGUUAAUUUUUUGUAUUUUUAGUAGAGAUGGGGUUUCACCAUGUUGGCCAGGCUGGUUUCAAACUCCUGACCUCAAGUAACCCACCUGCCUCAGCCUGCAAAAUAUUUCAUGCCACUGUAUAUUGGUCAUUUGGAAAAUAUUGGUUCACUGAGUUAUGCAGGUCUUCCAAAUGUCGAACUAUUUCCUUAAACAGUAUCACAAAAUCACAUUUGUUAAUAUCACCACUAAUCUUAUUGGAAAACUCUUUAAAUUUGGGAGGUUGUCUGACUCAUGAUGUUGGAUACAAGUUUUCAAGAAUUUUAAUUUUCACUUAAAAACUCACAUUUUACCUUUAGUGGUAAAUACUACUUUCCUCAACACGACAGGGUAGUUUCAUUUAUUUUUGCAAAGGUGUCUGUCAAAGACCUAAGUCUCAAUAACCAUGAUUUGUCUGUUGGGUGCCGUUCCAUGUAAAAUGAGGCUCCAUGAAAAAGCGGGCUCAGUCAGCUCAUGGCUGUAGCCCGCCCGUCCUUUUCCUCGAUGGCCGCUGUUCUUCUGUAUGACAGCUCCCCCUUUCUUCACCCAGAAUAUUGAAAAGACAUGUGCUCCAGAGCUGAGCUUUAAUAAAACUAUUUUUUUUUCACUGUUUCUUCAAGAACAUUCUUAAGUAAAACCUGCAUUUGAAAAAAAAAAAAAAACCUGUGAGUGUGUGGCUGUGAAGAGCACAAUGUCUGCUACCAAUGGCCAAUAACAACCUUUAAUGGCCUUCAUCCAUGUGGAGCUGGACUCACUGGUUUAACGGCCUUCAUCCAUGUGGAGCUGGACUCACUGGUUUAACGGCCUUCAUCCAUGUGGAGCUGGGCUCACUGGUUUAACGGCCUUCAUCCCUGUGGAGCUGGGCUCACUGGUUCAACGGCCUUCAUCCACGUGGAGCUGGGCUCACUGGUUUAACGGCCUUCAUCCCUGUGGAGCUGGACUCACUGGUUCAACGGCCUUCAUCCAUGUGGAGCUGGACUCACUGGUUUAAUGGACUUCAUCCAUGUGGAGCUGGACUCACUGGUUUAACGGCCUUCAUCCAUGUGGAGUUGGACUCAGUGGUUUAACGGCCUUCAUCCAUGUGGAGCUAGACUCACUUUUUUUUUUUUUUUUUGCACAUCAAUGCUGAUGUCUACAUGCAACAAAGCUACAUAAUGACUCACAGUGUAACUGUAAAAAAAAGUUUGGAGGUUGUCUUAGGGAACCCCAGGAUCUGCACUAAAUGAGAUUUCAUAAAUGAAUGAAUGACUUUUCCUACACAAUCACGUAUGGUGGAUCCUAGAUGUCCACAGUUUCUCAUCUAAAGCUCUGGGCCACAGACACGUUUCAGAAUUUCUUUGAUUUUGGACAGGUCAGGUGGUGCACAUAUCAUGUGCCACCUAACCCCGUGGGGUGUGAGCAGGGCCCUAUCUAACACAGUCAUAGUUCUGUGGUAAAUACAGGAAAAGCUGAACCAGCAGGUAACAGCCACAAGGAGCCUAUGUCUGUUCAAGUCAGGUUCUGCUGUCCAAGGAGUUAGGAAGACACCCUCCCAUUUUGAAAGCAUUUGGAUUUUGGAGUUGUAGACCAGGGGUUGUGGGCCUAUCUCCUGAUCUCCACUCCACAAGGGUACCUCGGGGAACAGACGGCCAAGGUCUCCUGGCGGGUGAAGGAGCUGGGAAUGGAGCACCCAGGGCCUGUUGAGCUUCCACUCUGUCAUCUCCCCUCCCCUCCCCGCCCCGUGACCUCAACCACAUGGCCCUCCUAACACGAAGGCUUCCAAGGCCUUUCCUGCCCGGCCCUGGGAUUCCUUUCCCCUUCUCCAGCCUUGUGUCCUCCACACACUCUGAACUGUGGCCAUGCAGGGCCACUCUGCGUGGUCCUCUGAUAUUCCAGCAUAAUCUCUCUGAUCAUUCUGGACUCUGGGCCUUGUCUCUCUAGGGCUAUAGCACCUAUUGGUGCCUCUCAGCUUACCUGACCUCCCUGGGAUACACUUCUUUUUUAAUUUAGUUUUUAAUAUUUAUGGGUACAUAGUAGGUGUAUAUAUUUGUGGGGUGUGAGACGUUUUGAUUCAGGAACAUGUGCAGUAAUUACAUCAUGGAAGAUAAGAGUAUCUAUUCCUUCAAGCAUUUACCCUCUGUGUUACCAACAAUCCAAUUAUACCCUUUUAGUUAUUCUUAAAUGUACAAUGAAAUUAUUAUUGACUAUAGUCACUCCUUUGUGCUAUCAAAUAGUAGAUCUUAUUCAUUCUUUCUAAUGACUUUUUUGUACCCAUUAGCUAUCUCCACUUCCCUAUUGCUGAAGGACCACUUUGGAUUCCUGAACUCCCAAGGGACUUUCCAGCUUUUGGACUUUCGUUUUUCCAGUAUCACUUAUGAGGACCCAAGUUCUACCAGGGCUUCUCCUACAUUGAAAAUGAUUAUAUCUAAGAUUCAAACAGAAAUUUUGUGUCUUGGCAAAUUUGAUAUCUGGAGGGUGAAUAUUAUUUAGAAAACAACCACCUUCUACUUUCUGCUUCUAUGAAUUUGAUGAUUCUAGGAGCCUCAUGCGAGUGGCAUCUUGUAUUAUAGUAUUUGUCUUUUUGUGUCUGGCUUGUUUCACUCAGCAUAAUAUGCUCAAGGUUCAGCUGCGCUGUGGCCUGUGUCGGGCUUUCCUUCCUUUCUAAGGCUACUAUUCCACUGUGUGUAUGUAGGCAACACUUGCACACCACAUUUUCCGUACCCAUCCAUCCCUCUGUGAACACUUGGGAGGGAUUGGGGACUGCAUGGCCCCCAGCCAUAGGUGUGCUGAGCACGUAAGAUGUACCCAGUGUGGCUGAAGAGUGGAAUUUUUAAUUUUAAUUAACAUAAAUGUAGAUUUACAAAUAGAUUUUCAAUUCAGCUCCUGGGAAACCCCCAAAGAUGUCUGAAAUAACUUGGGCGUGUGACGCUACCUUUUUACCUGCAAGCUUAAUGAACCCUAAAUGCAGGUCAAGUAUUUGCCAUGGAAAUGCAAUGCCCAAGCUGAGAUAUGCUAGAGGUGUAAAAUGCAUGCUGGAAUUGGAAGACCUAGUACCAAAAAAAAAAAUUGGAUGUAAAAUGUCUUGUUAAUUUGUAUAUUGAUUACUUUUGAAAUAAUAAUAUUUUGGAUAUAUUAGGUCAACUAAAAUAUUACUUAAAUUAACUGCACCUGUCUCUGGUGUUCAUGUGGCUGCUAAAAAGAUUAAAAUUGC
rnacentral:lncRNA from 1 species